rnacentral:rRNA from 1 species
AAGGAUCAUUACUGAUAUUUGCGCUUAAUUGCGCGAAAUACACUGUGUUUAUUAUUAAACUGCUUUGGCGGAGCGAUUCGCCAAAAACUCAACAAAUCUUAUUAUUUUUUAGUCAACGAUUAUUAAUAUCAAAACUUUCAACAACGGAUCUCUUGGUUCUCGCAUCGAUGAAGAACGCAGCGAAAUGCGAUAAGUAAUAUGAAUUGCAGAUAUUCGUGAAUCAUCGAAUCUUUGAACGCACAUUGCGCCUUGUGGUAUUCCACAAGGCAUGUCUGUUUGAGCGUCAUUUCUCUCUCAAACCUCUGGUUUGGUUUUGGAAGAUAAGCUACUUUCUUCUGAAAAGCAUUGGCGAAGCGGUGCAAAGCUGUCACGUAUUAGGUUCUACCAACUCGUAACACGCUAAGUACAAGGCCCCGCCUAAUAAACCCCACCAAGUUUGACCUCAAAUCAGAUAGGACUACCCGCUGAACUUAA